CAAAUGAAUUGACGGGGGCCCGCACAAGCGGUGGAGCAUGUGGUUUAAUUCGAUGCAACGCGAAGAACCUUACCUGGUCUUGACAUCCACAGAACUUUCCAGAGAUGGAUUGGUGCCUUCGGGAACUGUGAGACAGGUGCUGCAUGGCUGUCGUCAGCUCGUGUUGUGAAAUGUUGGGUUAAGUCCCGCAACGAGCGCAACCCUUAUCCUUUGUUGCCAGCGGUCCGGCCGGGAACUCAAAGGAGACUGCCAGUGAUAAACUGGAGGAAGGUGGGGAUGACGUCAAGUCAUCAUGGCCCUUACGACCAGGGCUACACACGUGCUACAAUGGCGCAUACAAAGAGAAGCGACCUCGCGAGAGCAAGCGGACCUCAUAAAGUGCGUCGUAGUCCGGAUUGGAGUCUGCAACUCGACUCCAUGAAGUCGGAAUCGCUAGUAAUCGUGGAUCAGAAUGCCACGGUGAAUACGUUCCCGGGCCUUGUACACACCGCCCGUCACACCAUGGGAGUGGGUUGCAAAAGAAGUAGGUAGCUUAACCUUCGGGGGGGCGCUUAC
rnacentral:rRNA from 2 species